CUGAGAGUUUUGACUCUUGUAUUCUUCCUACUAUGAAGAUCUGCUACGGGUAGUCAAGUUUUUCAAUUUAGUAUUUGCACAGGAUCAGGCUGUUUCGCUGAACUGCUGUUUGAUUUGCAGUUUCUGGCUUAAAUUUGUUUCAAAUCUUUUUAGCACCCUAAGUGGAAGGUGCACUACAGAGGAUCAAAUCUAGGAUUAAUGAAGUUUCAGAUCAAUGACUUUGAAACUCUUGUUCCUUCUUGUUCUUGUUGUAAUUAUUUGUAUUCUUAUUUCUAUUUUUUACCCUUUCAUAAUUAUUCACUGAAAAAUGCAGAGUGAGAGAUGUUUGUAUUUUGUUUUGUAAUACUUCAUCCAAUUUGGAUGAGUUAUAGCACUGCAUUCUUGGUUCCUAC